AAGUCCCCAGCAAGUCAUUCAGGACGCAGAGAGGCUAGUAAAUGAGGUGAAUGAGGCGCUAUGGAAACAGGAAAGAUUGCUGCACGAUUUUGAGAAGAACGUCACCCAGGAAGGACACGUGACCGAGGAAAAGAAAGCUGAAAGAAAAAUGUUGGAAAGGAAUGAAUUAUGAAUUGCCUGAGAGGCCUAAAAAAUACUUUAGUUUUGUUUGUUGCGACAUGGAGGUCGACUUUUGUUUGCUGUUGCGACGUGAAGGUCGCCUUUUGUAUCUUGUUACGACACGGAGGUCAACUUUAGUUCGUUAUGACAUGGAGGUCAACUUUAGUUCGUUAUGACACGGAGGUCAACUUUAGUUCGUUAUGACAUGGAGGUCAAGUUUAGUUCGUUAUGACAUGGAGGUCAACUUUAGUUCGUUAU